UUUAAUAUUAGCUCUGCAAAUGGGUUAGGAUCCGAGACCCUGUAAAGGGUUACAUAGGCUCUCCUACUCAACUCCCAUUCCGUCACGUCCCUGUCGUGCAGAGUGGUAACCUGUUCCACCGUAUAUCCAGCUUGGGUAAACGGGCCAGUCCCAACCCCUUGGGCGGAUGGCGGAGGAUUGCUGAACAGGAGGGG
rnacentral:ribozyme from 1 species